CCUACGGGAGGCAGCAGUGGGGAAUUUUGGACAAUGGGCGCAAGCCUGAUCCAGCCAUGCCGCGUGCAGGAUGAAGGCCUUCGGGUUGUAAACUGCUUUUGUACGGAACGAAAAGACUCUGGUUAAUACCUGGGGUCCAUGACGGUACCGUAAGAAUAAGCACCGGCUAACUACGUGCCAGCAGCCGCGGUAAUACGUAGGGUGCGAGCGUUAAUCGGAAUUACUGGGCGUAAAGCGUGCGCAGGCGGUUAUAUAAGACAGAUGUGAAAUCCCCGGGCUCAACCUGGGAACUGCAUUUGUGACUGUAUAGCUAGAGUACGGCAGAGGGGGAUGGAAUUCCGCGUGUAGCAGUGAAAUGCGUAGAUAUGCGGAGGAACACCGAUGGCGAAGGCAAUCCCCUGGGCCUGUACUGACGCUCAUGCACGAAAGCGUGGGGAGCAAACAGGAUUAGAUACCCUGGUAGUCCACGCCCUAAACGAUGUCAACUGGUUGUUGGGUCUUCACUGACUCAGUAACGAAGCUAACGCGUGAAGUUGACCGCCUGGGGAGUACGGCCGCAAGGUUGAAACGUCAAAGGAAUUGACGGCUGAGACGAGACGACGGACGACGACGAGGGGAGGAGG
rnacentral:rRNA from 1 species